rnacentral:rRNA from 1 species
AAGACCUUGCGCUUUUGGAGCGGCCGAUGCCUGAUUAGCUUGUUGGUAAGGUAAAAGCUUACCAAGGCUUCGAUCAGUAGCUGGUCUGAGAGGACGGCCAGCCACACUGGGACUGAGACACGGCCCAGACUCCUACGGGAGGCAGCAGUGGGGAAUUUUGGACAAUGGGGGCAACCCUGAUCCAGCCAUGCCGCGUGAGUGAAGAAGGCCUUCGGGUUGUAAAGCUCUUUCAGCCGGAACGAAACGGUUACGGUUAAUACCCGUGAUUACUGACGGUACCGGAAGGAGAAGCACCGGCUAACUACGUGCCAGCAGCCGCGGUAAUACGUAGGGUGCGAGCGUUAAUCGGAAUUACUGGGCGUAAAGCGUGCGCAGGUGGUUUUGUAAGUCAGAUGUGAAAGCCCCGGGCUCCACCUGGGAACU